UAUAGACUCAGCAUGACAUACAGUAGAAACAGCCCUCCCUUUCAAUGACAUGCAUCCUCUCAUGCUUACACAGCACAUCGUACUUCAUCUGGGUCGUGUCCAUUAGUAAAAUGGUUUGCAACUGAAAAUAAAAAUGUGUGUUUAUUGGACAAGUUUAGUCGAUAUCAAUUGGCUAGCUAGUUAGUGGUAUCUACUCAGUUGAGCUCUGCCCGACUGCUGGGGUUGCUGUGGAGGAGGUCAAAGGGUUUGAGUGUAGCCUAGUAUCAUUCAAUCGGUGACAUCACCUGCUCAAGGGUCGCGGCUUCUUCAUGGGCGACAGAUGUUGAUGUGUUCAGAGGGUCCCUGGUUUGAGUCCAGGUUGGGGCAGGGAGAAGAACGGAAACAACAGUGUUACACAAGGACAGAUGAUACCUUCCCGUUUCAGAACGUUUUCUACCGUUGGGUGCCUAAUGAACACAGCUCUGGUUUAGCACAGAUGUAGCAUAUAGACGUGCAAACAUAAUGAAUGUGUGGCAACACCUUUGUACAAUAGCUGGCUCAUUUAUGAAUUGCCGAGCUUCCGUUGCUCAUGAUAUUUUCAGGCCCCUCAUCUUAUUGUCUGCACAAUAGGUUAGUGCAGUGACUGAAAAGCUGGCUAAAACUUAUGUGGCUGGACUGACAACCUGGGUGGUGGUUUUCAGUAGGCACAAAAA